rnacentral:misc_RNA from 1 species
GAAAUGCGAUAAGUAAUGUGAAUUGCAGAAUUCAGUGAAUCAUCGAAUCUUUGAACGCACAUUGCGCCCGGCAGCAAUCUGCCGGGUAUGCCUGUCCGAGCGUCAUUUCUGCCCUCGAGCGCGGUUCGGCCCCUAGCGGGCCGGCCGCCGCCCGGUGUUGGGGCGCUGCGGGCCCUCGUGCCCGCAGGCCCUGAAAUGAAGUGGCGGUCCCGCCGCGGCGCCCCCUGCGUAGUAGUAAAGCACCUCGCAUCGGGUCCCGGCGGAGGCCAGCCGUCGAACCUCUCUUUUGAUGGUUUGACCUCGGAUCAGGUAGGGUUACCCGCUGAACUUAAGC